CCUCCCGGGGUUGCUGGUCUCUGACAACUGAACUGCCCAGAAAUCCAAGAAUUCUGGGAUUGAAACUUUGAUUAGUUUCACAUUGAACACGUCGAUUACAAAGGUUCAUAACAACAGACCAAAAACCAGAUAACCACCUUUUAUCUCCCUUGAACUACAUUGUUUUGGUCUUUACAGUCAUGCUGAUUCUGUUUUUAGCCGUUUUUGUUUUCUGGGUUUUCCUUAUUUUUGCAAAUAUUUGAAUAAUCAAGCAUAAAAAACUGCACAGAUUGAGCUUGGUGUGAUGUUUAAAACGAUUGUGGAUGGUUAAAAGAUUGAGACUUGGUGCAAAUUUACCACACAUGCCUAGUUUAAUAUGGGCGAUCUUGUCAUACUGAUGUGAAAAUUAAUUUCUUUUUUUGAUGAAUGUGAAGAAUAUUGAGAGAGCCCAACUUUCAAUUAAGUGGGAUUAGGAGAACUAUUGUGUUAUCUUGAUUUAUUUUUGUAGUAGAUUUCACUUUUUUAGUAUAUGCAACUGGGAAGACUUUGAAUUUUAUGUGUACAGUGAUGGCAGAUGGGGGAGCUGGCUGUUGAUAAACAUGUUAAAUACUUUGCAUCAGUUGAAAAGAGAAAGGAUGGUUUUGAAUCUGUGGUGUCGUAGCAUCAGCAGGGGGUCUUCUAGGAAAGUUGGAUGUUGUGCAUUCAAAUGAAGUGAUUCAGGGAUUAUGGAGUGCCAACAUGAAUCUGGUUUUUAAACAUUGACUCAAUUUUAAGGAUUUUCUUUUUAUUUUUAGUUUGUGUACAAAUCAAAGUCGUUUCAAUUAAAAAAACAAAAUGACAGUCAUUUUGGUUCUUAAGGAAAUAAUAAAACAAUGUUGUUUUGAGAUUCA